rnacentral:rRNA from 1 species
GACAGAGGGUGCUAGCGUUGUUCGGAAUUACUGGGCGUAAAGAGCGCGUAGGCGGCUCGUUAAGUGUGAAGUGAAAUCUCCAGGGCUCAACCCGGAAACUGCUUCGCAUACUGGCGGGCUAGAGGAAUGCAGAGGUUUGUGGAAUUCCUGGUGUAGCGGUGAAAUGCGUUGAUAUCAGGAGGAACACCCAUGGCGAAGGCAGCAAACUGGGCAUUAUCUGACGCUGAGGCGCGAAAGCGUGGGUAGCAAACAGG